CUAAUGUCAGUCGAGUUGGUGACGUUUCGCGCCGCAGAUGGGAGCAGAGAUUCAUCAUCGAUGAAACCGAUCACUGGCACACCGGGAAAGGCAAACCGUUUCGAUGGGAGAGUGCGUUAAGUCGUGUUGUUUUUGCUGCGCAUCUUGCUUCCAGCCCAGCCUCUGCUGUGGAAGCUUCUGCUGCCUACUUAUUCCCCUGUUCGGUCUUCUAAUCAUCUUGUUCGGCGCAGUGUUGGCCCUAAUCGGUGCGCUCGCCUGGAUGUUGCAACACCAGGCGGAACCCGUUGUAAGCCGAAUACUUGCGGCGCUGACCAACAGCUCGAUCAGUGACACUCUGCCCGAGGACGGCCAACUAAUCAUCCAGUGAACGUUGACAUUCGUUAUCGGCUGCUUGCUGGGCCGCUGGCUGGGGCGUAAAUGUGCAGCAGAAUUAAAAACAAAAACAAACAACAGGUCCCGGGUUGCUUGUUCUAUAAAAUUACCACUUUACAAGAACUGCAUGCAAAUUCCUUCCGACGAAAACACACGCAAACGAUGGGAGUGCAAAAACAGCCAACUGUGAUCCUCAUUUCGCCACCAUCGCCAUCGCGCUCAACCUUGACACAUGGAACUUUUACGAAUACCCAAACGGUACUCGCCGGCCCAAUCCAACCUCCCCGAAGGGUGGUAGAAAAGUUCCCAACAUUAACGGACCGGCACACAGCAUGGACAGUUAAGCUUGAGAUUAUCUAAUGCAAACCGGUCGGAGGUGCCGCUGGUCAUCGCAUGAUUGUCGGUCGUAAUUUACAUGUGCAAAAAGAGGUAGUGUCCCAUGGGCGACAAAAGAAGAGAAACAAAAACAACACUCAAACGGUAGUUGGUGCUAAUGGGAGACACGAGGGGGAAGAAAAAUACCCACCCCACGCACACACAUUCUACCCACCAAAGGGGGUCAGUUUUGCAUGCCAUACACUGUAGCAAGCGACGAAAUCAAAGGAAACCGAACCGACCGGCAUGCGUAAAGGAAAUUUGUCGCAACGGUGGAAGAUGAUGCGUUCGAGAUUAGAUCGGUUGCGAUCGGCGGCGGAUGGUUUGCCGAUUCUUUUCACCGGGAGCCAUCUUUGGCGUGAGAAAUGACGCGUGCGAUAGGGAGAGGGAAAUAUAGGUCACUCGCUGCGGGCGUGAGGCCAUAGCAUAAUUACUAUGCAAAUAGUGAACCCUGAUGGCAAACCGAAGAUUAAUGAUGCUGUGACCGGGUGCCUGCGAGCCAAAAAUUGUCUGACCCGGGGAAAAUCGUGUGAAAACUAGUCACAACCAUUACGCGAUUAAUCGAAGCAGAUAGCUAAGCUAUUGGUUAGGAUACAACGGCAUGGAUUUUGGCGUAGGAUAUACUUUUCCCUUUUUGAAAGGGGAGGGGGACUAGCAUUCGUUACGAAAUAGUAAAUAAACUUCUCUCGCCAAUAGAAACCCAUCUGCGGCA